GUGGGGAAUAUUGGACAAUGGGGGGAACCCUGAUCCAGCCAUGCCGCGUGUGUGAAGAAGGCCUUUUGGUUGUAAAGCACUUUAAGCGAGGAGGAGGCUACCGAGAUUAAUACUCUUGGAUAGUGGACGUUACUCGCAGAAUAAGCACCGGCUAACUCUGUGCCAGCAGCCGCGGUAAUACAGAGGGUGCAAGCGUUAAUCGGAUUUACUGGGCGUAAAGCGCGCGUAGGUGGCCAAUUAAGUCAAAUGUGAUAUCCCCGAGCUUAACUUGGGAAUUGCAUUCGAUACUGGUUGGCUAGAGUAUGGGAGAGGAUGGUAGAAUUCCAGGUGUAGCGGUGAAAUGCGUAGAGAUCUGGAGGAAUACCGAUGGCGAAGGCAGCCAUCUGGCCUAAUACUGACACUGAGGUGCGAAAGCAUGGGGAGCAAACAGGAUUAGAUACCCGGGUAGUCC
rnacentral:rRNA from 1 species